CCAUGAGUGACUUGGUGAUACCACAGCUGCCCAGUUCUUUAGGUUUGAACAGGGAGAUCACGUGGUAAUGAAUCAUUUUGUUACAUCUCUGGAGUCUCCCUGAUAAUGGGGGGAUUGGGACAGUUGGGGCUUGGUUAUAUGUUUUGAUGGGUAACAAUCAUUUAAAAACACUGUGUUACACUGUACAACAAAUACAGUAUAUUUGUUCCUUAAUCCAUAUAAUGGAACUAAGAGAAUGCCUUUCAAAACUCUGGAAAUAUUUAUUGAGGACAGGUGAGGCCCAGACAUUGUUAGGUAUUGGAUCUUCUGCUGAAAUUGUAAAUAAAAUGAGAUGUUUUUUUUUCCUUAGAAGCAGUUGGAUUCAAUCAGGACUUAAAGAAUAUCAUAAGAGUUUUCCAUUGAUAUGUGUAAUUGAUGAUGUGGCAUAUUGGUCAGACCAAACUAAUGGAGAGACUGCUUGCUGAUUUUGUUGAUGUUCAGAGCAAGCUUGUGAGAUAAGCAGGGCAUGGAUUGGUAUGCAUAAGAAAACUGAGGAACAUCAGGCACAAAUGAAAUAAUCAUAAAUAUAAUCUCAACUAUUGAGAUAUAAGUGGCAUACAAUGAAAUGUACGUAUUGAAAGUAUAUGAUUUGAUAAGUUUUGACAUACGUACAUACCCGUAAAAUUAUUGGUCAAAAUCACGAACAUAUCCGUCCUCCUCAGAAGUUGUCUCUUGCCCGUUUUUAGUUGCUCCGUCCCACACUGUGCUGUCCCGCCAGCCUAUUUUUAGACAUUCCAGAGAAGUACUAAACAGAAUCUAGAAAAGGAACUAUGUGUAUUGUAGCAAUUUGUAUAUUAUCUGGACUAAUCCGGGACUGAUGAAGAUGCUGAUAAUGGCAAGUUUUGAGAGCUUUGAUAUAAAACCACCUUGUAUUUUGCUAUUGUCUACUCUCUUAGAACAAAAAGGAGCGCCUUCCCUGGUAGGUGACUCAGCUUCCUGCAGCUUCCCUGGAGUUACUUCUAUGCGUUAAUGACUGAUGCAUGAGCCGGGUUUACCUGCUGUCCUGGGAUGUUUACUCUUGUCCCCAGGAAUACUUAUUUUGUCUGUUGGAGCUUCAUGCUUUCAAGUGGAUCCAUCGGAAGGCUACCUAGCAUCUCUGCCCAGUGCUGUAAUAACAGACUCGGGAAGGAAACUUCCCAAGGACUGUGGGAGAUUCUGAGACCUCCAAGCUUUCGGAACAGUGGGGAGUCAGAGGAAGAGAGCUGGGGAGAAGCGAGGCUGUUGCUUUACUGCAGGUGAUAGAAAUAGAGUGCGCUGUGAGGAAGGGAAUUCACAUCACUCAGUGUGGGGCAGA